rnacentral:rRNA from 1 species
CAGUCGCCACGGUAAUACAGAGGGUGCAAGCGUUAAUCGGAAUUACUGGGCGUAAAGCGCGCGUAGGUGGUUUGUUAAGUUGAAUGUGAAAUCCCCGGGCUCAACCUGGGAACUGCAUCCAAAACUGGCAAGCUAGAGUAGGGUAGAGGGUGGUGGAAUUUCCUGUGUAGCGGUGAAAUGCGUAGAUAUAGGAAGGAACACCAGUGGCGAAGGCGACCACCUGGACUCAUACUGACACUGAGGUGCGAAAGCGUGGGGAGCAAACAGGAUUAGAUACCCCUGUAGUCCCUGUCUCUUAUAC